rnacentral:rRNA from 1 species
GACAGCCAGGAUGUUGGCUUAGAAGCAGCCAUCAUUUAAAGAAAGCGUAAUAGCUCACUGGUCGAGUCGGCCUGCGCGGAAGAUGUAACGGGGCUAAACCAUGCACCGAAGCUGCGGCAGCGACGCUGAUGCGUUGUUGGGUAGGGGAGCGUUCUGUAAGCCUGUGAAGGUGUACUGUGAGGUAUGCUGGAGGUAUCAGAAGUGCGAAUGCUGACAUAAGUAACGAUAAAGCGGGUGAAAAGCCCGCUCGCCGGAAGACCAAGGGUUCCUGUCCAACGUUAAUCGGGGCAGGGUGAGUCGACCCCUAAGGCGAGGCCGAAAGGCGUAGUCGAUGGGAAACAGGUUAAUAUUCCUGUACUUGGUGUUACUGCGAAGGGGGGACGGAGAAGGCUAUGUUGGCCGGGCGACGGUUGUCCCGGUUUAAGCGUGUAGGCUGGUUUUCCAGGCAAAUCCGGAAAAUCAAGGCUGAGGCGUGAUGACGAGGCACUACGGUGCUGAAGCAACAAAUGCCCUGCUUCCAGGAAAAGCCUCUAAGCAUCAGGUAACAUCAAAUCGUACCCCAAACCGACACAGGUGGUCAGGUAGAGAAUACCAAGGCGCUUGAGAGAACUCGGGUGAAGGAACUAGGCAAAAUGGUGCCGUAACUUCGGGAGAAGGCACGCUGAUAUGUAGGUGAAGUCCCUCGCGGAUGGAGCUGAAAUCAGUCGAAGAUACCAGCUGGCUGCAACUGUUUAUUAAAAACACAGCACUGUGCAAACACGAAAGUGGACGUAUACGGUGUGACGCCUGCCCGGUGCCGGAAGGUUAAUUGAUGGGGU